rnacentral:lncRNA from 1 species
AACUAGCUCUAUACUCAUCUGCAGCAAGAAUCAUGCCAAGAAGGCGAGUCAGCCAAAGUGAGGAAAUUACAGGACUUCCAUUUUUGGACAAGAAGAGAGCGGACUUAUUGCCUGGGACCUUUUCCAGCUGGGACUGCAGAUGUGCUGUGACGUGGGACUUCCAAGCACUAUUUCAAGUCUGGAUGUUGGUCAAAACCCUAUUUGGUGAUGUAUCCUCUG